rnacentral:SRP_RNA from 1 species
GCCGGGCAUGUUGGCACGUGCCUGUAAUCCCAGCUACUUGGGAGGCUGAGGCAGGAGAAUCGCUUGAACCCGGGAGGCAAAGGUUGCAGUGAACCGAGAUUGCGCCACUGCACUCUAGCCUGGGUGACAGAGAGAGACUCCGUCUCAA